AUCGCUUCUCUGCCUUUUGGCUAAGAUUAAUUAUAGUAUCUGUUCUUAUCAGUUCAAUAUCUGAUACGUCACCACCUAUCUGAGGACAAAAUAUUAUUUAUUUAUUUUUUUAUAGAUUUUUAGAACAGGGAAAUGGAAAAAGAGCUUAGGCUACUUUCACACUUGCGGCAGAGAGAUCCGGAACU